rnacentral:rRNA from 1 species
AACGAACGCUGGCGGCAUGCCUAACACAUGCAAGUCGAACGAGACCUUCGGGUCUAGUGGCGCACGGGUGCGUAGCGCGUGGGAACCUGCCCUUAGGUUCGGAAUAACUCCCCGAAAGGGGUGCUAAUACCGGAUAAUGUCUUCGGACCAAAGAUUUAUCGCCUUUGGAUGGGCCCGCGUUGGAUUAGCUAGUUGGUAGGGUAAAAGCCUACCAAGGCGACGAUCCAUAGCUGGUCUGAGAGGAUGAUCAGCCACACUGGGACUGAGACACGGCCCAGACUCCUACGGGAGGCAGCAGUGGGGAAUAUUGGACAAUGGGCGAAAGCCUGAUCCAGCAAUGCCGCGUGAGUGAUGAAGGCCUUAGGGUUGUAAAGCUCUUUUACCCGGGAUGAUAAUGACAGUACCGGGAGAAUAAGCUCCGGCUAACUCCG